rnacentral:rRNA from 1 species
GACGAACGCUGGCGGCGUGCUUAACACAUGCAAGUCGAACGCUGAAGCUCAGCUUUUGUUGGGUGGAUGAGUGGCGAACGGGUGAGUAACACGUGAGUAACCUGCCUCCUUCUUUGGGAUAACGCCCGGAAACGGGUGCUAAUACUGGAUAUUCACUGGUCUUCGCAUGGGGGUUGGUGGAAAGGGUUUUUCUGGUGGGGGAUGGGCUCGCGGCCUAUCAGCUUGUUGGUGGGGUGAUGGCCUACCAAGGCUUUGACGGGUAGCCGGCCUGAGAGGGUGACCGGUAACAUUGGGACUGAGAUACGGCCCAGACUCCUACGGGAGGCAGCAGUGGGGAAUAUUGUACAAUGGGCGCAAGCCUGAUGCAGCGACGCCGCGGGAGGGAUGGAGGCCGUCGGGUUGUGAACCUCUUUCGCUAAUGGUCAAGCCGCAACAAUGGUUGUGGUGAGGGUAGUGGGUAAAGAAGCGCCGGCUAACUACGUG